GAUGAACGCUAGCGGCAGGCUUAAUACGUGCAAGACGAGGGGUAAUAGGUCUGUAGCAAUACAGAUGCUGACGACCGGCAAACGGGUGCGGAACACGUACAGAACCUUCCUUCGAGUGGGAGAUAGCCCAGGGAAACUUGGAGUAAUAUCCCAUAGGAUCAUAGAGUGGCAUCACUUAGUGAUUAAAGAUUUAUCGCUUGAAGAUGGCUGUGCGGCUGAUUAGGUAGUUGGUGUAGGUAACGGCUCACCAAGCCUUCGAUCAGUAACUGGUGUGAGAGCACGACCAGUCACACGGGCACUGAGACACGGGCCCGACUCCUACGGGAGGCAGCAGUAAGGAAUAUUGGGCAAUGGAGGCAACUCUGACCCAGCCAUGCCGCGUGGAGGAUGAAGGUCCUCUGGAUUGUAAACUUCUUUUAUUUGGGAAGAAAUGCCAAUUUUCUAAUUGGUUUGACGGUACCAGAUGAAUAAGCACCGGCUAACUCCGUGCCAGCCGCCGCCGUAAAAC
rnacentral:rRNA from 1 species